AUUUAACCUGCCCACUGAUUUUUUAAAUGGCCGCGGUAUUUUGACCGUGCAAAGGUAGCAUAAUAAUUAGUUUUUUAAUUGAAAGCUGGAAUGAAUGGUUGGACGAGAAAAUUACUGUCUCUAAUUAAUUUUAAUAGAAAUUCAUUUUUAAGUAAAAAAGCUUAAAUUUUGUUUAAAGACGAGAAGACCCUAUAGAGUUUUAUAUUUUAAUAUAAUUUUUAUUUUAAGUAUUUUUUAAUUAAGUUUAUUUAAAUUAUUUUGUUGGGGUGAUGAAAAGAUUUAAUUAACUCUUUUUUUAUUUAAACAUUUAUUUUUGAUUUUUUGAUCCAAAAUUUUUGAUUAUAAGAUUAAAUUACCUUAGGGAUAACAGCGUAAUUUUUUUGGAGAGUUCAUAUCGAUAAAAUAGAUUGCGACCUCGAUGUUGGAUUAAAGUUAAUUUUUGAUGCAGAAGUUAAAAAAUUGAGUCUGUUCGACUUUUAAAACUUUACAUGAUCUGAGUUUAAACCGGCGUGAGCCAGGUUGGUUUCUAUCUUAAUUUUUUUAAAAUGUUUUAGUACGAAAGGACCAA
rnacentral:rRNA from 1 species